rnacentral:rRNA from 1 species
AUUGAACGCUGGCAGCAGGCCUAACACAUGCAAGUCGAGCGAGCGGCGGACGGGUGAGUAAUGUCUGGGAGACUGCCUAAUGAAGGGGGAUAACUACUGGAGACGGUAGCUAAUACCGCAUAACAUCAGAUGUGCCCAGAUGGGAUUAGCUAGUAGGUGGGGGAACGGAUCACCUCGGCGACGAUCCCUAGCUGGUCUGAGAGGAUGACCAGCCACACUGGAACUGAGACACGGUCCAGACUCAUACGGGAGGCAGCAGUGGGGAAUAUUGCACAAUGGGCGCAAGCCUGAUGCAGCCAUGCCGCGUGUGUGAAGAAGGCCUUCGGGUUGUAAAGCACUUUCAGCGGGGAGGCGUUACCCGCAGAAGAAGCACCGGCUAACUCCGUGCCAGCAGCCGCGGUAAUAC